UCCAAACUCGGUGUGUGUGCAACUAGCGUAACGCUAGUUGUUGGCUGUAUCGAUUGUACAAUAUUUCCACCCAAUGUCGAUGAUGCUGAACAUCCCGAACAUAUUUAUGUUAAUCGCAAAGGCUACCGCUCCAUUAAUGUUUAACUGAUAUGCAACAGUAAACUGAAAAUUAUCAAUGUCAAUGCACGAUACCCAGGAAGCACACAUGAUGCAUUCAUUUGGGCCAAUUCCAAUAUCUUGGAGGUGUUUACAAAUCUUUCUGCUUUAGGUCAUACAAACUGCUAUUUGUUAGGUACAUAGAUACUGGUUAUCCACUGAGGACAUGGCUCUUAACACCCCUUGAAAAUGAACCACCUGAAGGUACACCAGAGCAUAAUUGUGAAAAAGUCCACAAACAAACCAGCAGUAUGAAAGAUUUAAUGGGGUAUUGAAAAUGAGAUUCAGAUGUUUAUUUAAGCAUAGAGCUUUGCAUUAUAAACCAGCCGUGGUAUGCAGGAUAAUAAACUUGGUGUUGUACUUCACGAUAUGUGUAUAGAGUAUAACAUCCCAAUGCCUGAGAAUGACAAUGAAGAUAUACAAAAUAUUGACUUUGGAAUUAUUCUCAAUGGAAAUUCUGCAAACCAUGAAAAUAAUGAUGGGCACAAUCCAGUGAGGCGCAUUAAUCCCCAGCUAGAUGCAGGAAGGAGAGCCAGGCAGCG